UACGGGGGGAGCAAGCGUUGUUCGGAUUUACUGGGCGUAAAGGGCGCGUAGGCGGCCAGCACAAUUCAGUUGUGAAAUCUCCGAGCUUAACUCGGAAAGGUCAACUGAUACUGUGCGGCUAGAGUGCGGAAGGGGCAACUGGAAUUCUUGGUGUAGCGGUGAAAUGCGUAGAUAUCAGGAGGAACACCGGUGGCGAAGGCGGGUCUCUGGGCAACAACUGACGCUGAGGAGCGAAAGCGUGGGGAGCGAACAGG
rnacentral:rRNA from 1 species